rnacentral:rRNA from 1 species
AGGAUAAACGCUGGCGGCGUGCCUAACACAUGCAAGUCGAACGCGCUUUCGGGCUUCGGUGCGAGAGCGAGUGGCGGACGGGUGAGUAACACAUGGGUACCUGCCUUUCAGUGAGGGAUACCGGCGAGAAAUCGCCGACAAUACCGCAUGGGCUUGUGGGAACACAAGCAAAGUGGCGCAAGCCACGCUGGAAGAUGGGCCUGUGGCCGAUUAGCUAGUUGGGGGGGUAACGGCCUCCCAAGGCGACGAUCGGUAGCUGGUCUGAGAGGACGAUCAGCCACACUGGGAUUGAGAACGGCCCAGACUCCUACGGGGGGCAGCAGUGAGGAAUUUUCCGCAAUGGACGAAAGUCUGACGGAGCAACGCCGCGUGCAGGAGGAAGGUUUUCGGAUCGUAAACUGCUUUUCUCGGGGACGAGCAAGGACGGUACCCGAGGAAGAAGCCCGGCUAACUACGCGCCAGCAGCCGC